GCCUGGCUGGCUCCGUGUGGAGCAUGUGACUUUUGAUCUCAGAGUUAUGAGUUCGAGCCCCAUGUCGGGUG
rnacentral:tRNA from 1 species